rnacentral:rRNA from 1 species
AUUGAACGCUGGCGGCAGGCUUAACACAUGCAAGUCGAACGAGUGGCGGACGGGUGAGUAAUGCUUGGGAAUCUAGCUUAUGGAGGGGGAUAACUACGGGAAACUGUAGCUAAUACCGCGUACCAUAGGAUGAGCCCAAGUGGGAUUAGGUAGUUGGUGCGGUAAAGGCUCACCAAGCCGACGAUCCCUAGCUGGUCUGAGAGGAUGACCAGCCACACUGGGACUGAGACACGGCCCAGACUCCUACGGGAGGCAGCAGUGGGGAAUAUUGGACAAUGGGGGCAACCUGACGCAGCCAUGCCGCGUGGAUGAAGAAGGCCUUCGGGUUGUAAAGUACGUUCGGCAGGGAGGCGUUACCUGCAGAAGAAGCACCGGCUAACUCCGUGCCAGCAGCCGCGGUAAUAC